rnacentral:rRNA from 1 species
UAAGUACUGCCCAGUGAAUCUUCAACGGCCGCGGUACACUGACUGUGCAAAGGUAGCAUAAUCCGUAGCCCCUUAAUUAGGGGAUAGAAUGAAUGAAUCAACAAAAAACUAACUGUCUCUAUAUUAAAAAUAAAACCUUAUCUUUAGGUGAAAACGCCUAAAUACCACAAAAAGACAAGAAGACCCUAAAAGCUCCUAAAAAUAAAAUACUGGUAUUCUAAUUUUUUUAGUCGGGAAGACACUUAGUAUAAUAAACACUUACUUAAUAAAGAUUUAUAAAUCUAACCCCUUAACCCAUUAAUGAAUAAAAGUAAGCUACUUUAGGGGUAACAGGCUUAUAUUCCUUAAGAGUACGCAUUGACAGGAAUGUUUGGCACCUCGAUGUUGGCUUAGGGAUCCCUUAAUAUGCAGGAGUAUUAAAGGAAGGUUUGUUCAACCUAUAACCCCCU